GUAAACAAAUAUAAGUAAACGAUCUACUGCGUUUUUUCCAUUACAUUACAUCACAUGAAUCAAUUGUUAACGUAACAGUGCUUUGAAUCCAGAACACGGAAACUCGCACGUUGAAUUGUGUGUCUGCAGGUCAGUCUUGCCCUCUCCAAUAUGGCGGCGACGUUUGCGUACGUCCAAAGACCAAUGCGGCUUCUAUGUUUAUAUGUCUAUAAAAAAUCACACGUGCUGCGGCUCAGUGUGACACGCAUGAACUCACGUUGACCAAUAACGUGAAAAUUGACGUUUUCCGGCUUUUAUAGCAUCGACAUCCCGCCUUCGAUCAAUUAGCAACCCUGGGGGCACUCGGUGGAAAGUACAACGGCAGAUGCUGAGGUCUUAAUAAAUCCUCCUUCAUCUCAGAGAGACAAGACAGUCAGGAGCCCAGGAUCAACUCCACUGCAGUGUGAUCAAGAUGUGAAGGAUUCCACUACUUGGCCCUUUCUGGACCUAGGAGGGCGCCAGAGGUCCAACUUGCGAUGGUCCUACCCCCCCCAGGAUCCCUUGCGGUACCCUGAACUCGGCGACGACGCCGAAGGUCACCACAAUAUAUCAGUCUCCUUCUCGGCCGUGGUCCCCAUGGCACUCAUUGCUGCACUCUGCUAUCUGAUAGAGUCGCACCGGUUCUCCAGGUCUGAAGACCUGUAGCUCCGCAACCUGCAUUCUGCAGUUCCGGCAUCCGUGGUCAUGCUUUAAAACAGGCAAGUUCAGUUAAGCCCCGAAUAAGGCAGGUGUUCACUCCCUGGCAGAACUGCAUAACAUUCAUUCUGCGCACCCAAGUGUAAAGGGUCGCACAAAUUCAUGAUCCGUACUGCUCUAUUUAUUACUCACUGCGUUGUUAUUUUACACACGUUCCAGGUCUAUUGUGUCUAUAGUAUUUUUAUUAUACAGGAAAAACGAUAUUAUCUAAUAGGCCUACUGGUAAAUUCAAAAGCUGUAGGGAUUGCAUUUUAAGAGUGAGUAUGAAAUUCGUAACAAUCUAGCUUACCAUCCUGCAUAGACAGAAGGAAAAUGUCAGCAACUUUUAGUAUACUGGCGUUUAUUUAUUUUAGUUUGUUUGCUCAAUGAUCUUGUGUGCACUUACGUGGAUUUCUUUUGCAUUUCCCCCCGGCAAGCAAAUCAGCCCAAACCCCAGGACUGGUGCGAUUAAAAUUAGAAGGCAGUAUAGUAAAGAGUGACCUUGAAAAAAAACACAUUGACACCAGAAUGAACUUAAGUAACUGAAAUAGUAGCCUGUGUCGUUACAAAUACUAUUUGUUGUUUGGGAAUGCUCUGUUUGACAUGACGGGCAUUACAGUUUAUAUACAAUUUUCUCAAAAAACAGUCUUUUUUUUUUUUUUACCCCCACCAACCUCUAGAAAGCUACUCUACCACUAUAGUCCUUGUCUGCCUGUGUCCCUCAAUUAAAUUCACCUUUGGGCUGCUGGCAGACAAUCUUCUCGUCAGAGGAAACGCCCCCCAAAGAGCACGUGAUGAGUCGCGUUGAUUUGUCUGAACAGUUGAAGAACGCAGUGCUCGAGAUGUUGAACAGCAGAGAAUUCUUAUCCUGCGUGACUAUGUUCUCCCAUUGAUGCUCAAGGACACCAGAAACAUUCCAUGAUAUUUUGCUGACUGGAUAGACCGCGACGGCAGUACACGUCAGCGAGGCAUUGGAGACGUCACCAGAGCUCCCAGGAAUGCGACGCUCUAGUGUCACUGUAUCGGGGGUUGCUAAAGAGGGAAAACGAGAAGUUCAUUAACGAAGAAAACGGGAGAUGACAAAGCAAACACGCCGGGCGAAUCUUCACACUUCCCUUUUUAUGUGAAGCAAAAGGGAAGUCAUGGUUCGAAUCAUUCAGGGGAUCAACUAAAGUGAAAAUAAAUUGGCAUCCCGACGUGUGUUCCAGAGGUCCAAUCUAAAAUUCCUCUGAAAGUCUGAAAAUAACUUGGAGGAAGUUACAUGCUUUGGAUAAAGAGUUUAUCCGUCCACAUUUGUGCACUUCAGAACAAACUGAUUGGGGUGGUGGAAUGUAAUAGGUAUUAUAUAUUAUUCCAAUGUUCUUGUUGGGAGUGGGAAUCAGUGCCUGGAGGGCCUACCAGUUAUGCUGAGCGUUGUUUUGGUGUCUUCAGUUUUUCCUCUACCGACGCCAUGGUUUACGAUGCAUUUAUAUGUCCCUUCAUCUGAGACGGUUAGAUUUCCAAAGGUUACCGUUUUAUCCACAUUGUCCAAGAAGGUGUCAGGUCGAAGGACUUCGGUCUUGUUCGUCGGAGCAUGAUAUCCAAUUAUAACCUUUUUAAAAUCUGUGCCUCCUUGAAAGGACAUAGACUUUAUAUCCAUCUUUAUUGAGUUGCAUUGAAACAACACCGUCCCUCCGACUUCUCCAGAAAGAAGAAGGCCGGUACAAACUGAAAGAGAAAGGUUGUAAGUCAUGUGAAUACUAUAUUUUUACUAGUUUCAAAAACACUUUGAGGUGGACAUCUUUUAUAUAUUGUAGUGUCAUAUUUUGGUUUGAAAUAUUACAUGACAUGAUUGAAUCAAUUGUCAUUGAUUAUAGGCUAUGAGGGUAACAGCUCAAAUUAUUACAAUUAUUAUGGUUACUGGAACUCUUCAAUAUUUAAAAAUGUCUUACCUUUGAAAAAGAAGGGAAAUGCCAACAACAAAAAUAACAUCUUCAUCUGGGAAAGAUGACAUUACUGAAAUGAAACUUAAUUCUUCAACAUGCAUCACAAAUUCAGUAGAAAAUAUCAAAUAACUUUUGGCCAUAGAAGUCCAUAAUGAGCUGCUACAUCACCGUUGUGCUCACCAUUAGGGGUUCUCCAUAGUCUGCCCACGCAUAUGUUGUUUGUGUACGUGCACAGGGGUGUUAGAGGGGAUUAUUUAGCCCCAACAAACUUUUGAGUCACCCCUCGCAACACAUCCUCUCACAAACGUCCGUGGCAACACACACACACACACACACACACACACACACACACACACACACACACACACACACACACACACACACACCAUAUUGCCCACAACCGCCUCUGUGCUAUAUAUAUAUAUAUAUACUUAAUAUAUAUGAAGACAUCGGACUGACUUAUAUGUAUAUUAAUAAACAAUCUAGCAACCGCGUGGCUCCCGCAAUCAUAAUUCCUUGGUGAAGCUACCAUGCCAUGAUGAAGGCUUUGAAUAUUUAUUUAUUUAUUCUGCUCCACACAUUUUUGCAUUCCACAUGGUUAGAGUACAUUCCGCAUACUAUGCAUACUAU